AACGAACGCUGGCGGCAUGCCUAACACAUGCAAGUCGAACGAGACCUUCGGGACUAUUGGCCCACGGGUGUGUAACGCGUGGGAACCUUCCCUUAGGUUUGGAAUAACUCUCCGACAGGGGUGCUAACACCGGAUAAUGUCUUCUGACCAAAGAUUUAUCGCCGUUGGUUGGGCCCGCGUUGGAUUAGCUAGUUGGUAGGGUAAAAGCCUACCAAGGGGUCGAUCCAUAGCUGGUCAGAGAGGAUGAUCACCCACACUGGAACUGAGACACGGCCAAGACUCCUACGGGAGGGAGCAGUGGCGAAUAUUGGCAAAUGGGCGAAAGUGUGAUAGAGCUAUGGCGCGUGAGUGAUGAUGGCCUUAGAGUUAUAAAGCUCUUUUAACCGGGAUGAUAAUGACAGUACCGGGAGAAUAAGCCCCGGCUAACUCCGUG
rnacentral:rRNA from 1 species